AACGACUCUCGGCAACGGAUAUCUCGGCUCUCGCAUCGAUGAAGAACGUACCGAAAUCCGAUACUUGGUGUGAAUUGCAGAAUCCCGUGAACCAUCGAGUCUUUGAACGCAAGUUGCGCCCCAAGCCUUUUUGCCGAGGGCACGUCUGCCUGGGUGUCACA
rnacentral:rRNA from 1 species